AUUGAACGCUGGCGGAAUGCUUUACACAUGCAAGUCGAACGGCAGCACGGACUUCGGUCUGGUGGCGAGUGGCGAACGGGUGAGUAAUGUAUCGGAACGUGCCCAGGCGUGGGGGAUAAGGUAGGGAAAAUUACGCUAAUACCACAUACGAUCUAUGGAUGAAAGCGGGGGAUCGCAAGACCACGCGCGGUUGGAGCGGCCGGUAUCAGAUUAGGUAGUUGGUGGGGUAACGGCCCACCAUGCCAACGAUCUGUAGCUGGUCUGAGAGGACGGCCAGCCACACUGGAUCUGAGACACGGUCCAGACUCCUACGGGAGGCAGCAGUGGGGAAUUUUGGACAAUGGGCGAAAGCCUGAUCCAGCCAUUCCGCGUGCAGGAUGAAGGCCCUCGGGUUGUAAACUGCUUUUGUACAGAACGAAAAGGUUUCUACUAAUACUAGGAGCUCAUGACGGUACUGUAAGAAUAAGCACCGGCUAACUACGUGCCAGCCGCCGCAGUAA
rnacentral:rRNA from 1 species